rnacentral:rRNA from 1 species
GAUGAACGCUGGCGGCGUGCCUAAUACAUGCAAGUCGAGCGAACAGACGAGGAGCUUGCUCCUCUGACGUUAGCGGCGGACGGGUGAGUAACACGUGGAUAACCUACCUAUAAGACUGGGAUAACUUCGGGAAACCGGAGCUAAUACCGGAUAAUAUAUUGAACCGCAUGGUUCAAUAGUGAAAGACGGUUUUGCUGUCACUUAUAGAUGGAUCCGCGCCGCAUUAGCUAGUUGGUAAGGUAACGGCUUACCAAGGCGACGAUGCGUAGCCGACCUGAGAGGGUGAGCGGCCACACUGGAACUGAGACACGGUCCAGACUCCUACGGGAGGCAGCAGUAGGGAAUCUUCCGCAAUGGGCGACAGCCUGACGGAGCAACGCCGCGUGAGUGAUGAAGGUCUUAGGAUCGUAAAACUCUGUUAUUAGGGAAGAACAAAUAUGUAAGUAACUAUGCACGUCUUGACGGUACCUAAUCAGAAAGCCACGGCUAACUACGUG